rnacentral:misc_RNA from 1 species
AACGCACAUUGCGCCCUCUGGUAUUCCGGGGGGCAUGCCUGUUCGAGCGUCAUUAUAACCACUCAAGCUCUUGCUUGGUAUUGGGGUUCGCGGUCCCGCGGCUCCUAAAAUCAGUGGCGGUGCCUGUCGGCUCUACGCGUAGUAAUACUUCUCGCGAUUGAGUCCGGUAGGUUUACUUGCCAGCAACCCCCAAUUUUUUACAGGUUGACCUCGGAUCAGGUAGGGAUACCCGCUGAACUUAA